rnacentral:rRNA from 1 species
AGAGUUUGAUCAUGGCUCAGAUUGAACGCUGGCGGCAGGCCUAACACAUGCAAGUCGAGCGGAUGAAGGGAGCUUGCUCCUGGAUUCAGCGGCGGACGGGUGAGUAAUGCCUAGGAAUCUGCCUGGUAGUGGGGGAUAACGUCCGGAAACGGGCGCUAAUACCGCAUACGUCCUGAGGGAGAAAGUGGGGGAUCUUCGGACCUCACGCUAUCAGAUGAGCCUAGGUCGGAUUAGCUAGUUGGUGGGGUAAAGGCCUACCAAGGCGACGAUCCGUAACUGGUCUGAGAGGAUGAUCAGUCACACUGGAACUGAGACACGGUCCAGACUCCUACGGGAGGCAGCAGUGGGGAAUAUUGGACAAUGGGCGAAAGCCUGAUCCAGCCAUGGCCGCGUGUGUGAAGAAGGUCUUCGGAUUGUAAAGCACUUUAAGUUGGGAGGAAGGGCAGUAAGUUAAUACCUUGCUGUUUUGACGUUACCAACAGAAUAAGCACCGGCUAACUUCGUGCCAGCAGCCGCGGUAAUACGAAGGGUGCAAGCGUUAAUCGGAAUUACUGGGCGUAAAGCGCGCGUAGGUGGUUCAGCAAGUUGGAUGUGAAAUCCCCGGGCUCAACCUGGGAACUGCAUCCAAAACUACUGAGCUAGAGUACGGUAGAGGGUGGUGGAAUUUCCUGUGUAGCGGUGAAAUGCGUAGAUAUAGGAAGGAACACCAGUGGCGAAGGCGACCACCUGGACUGAUACUGACACUGAGGUGCGAAAGC